UGCCUCAGUUUAAAUCUUUGAUAGCACGGUGUGAAGCUGAAGGAACACAGUUCCUACUAUCUCAGUUUAAAUCUAUGACGUUUUCGAAGCUGAACAGACGCUUUAAGAAAAAUGAUAGGAUUUGAAAUCCCCACGAGACUGAGGUACCCUGUUUUCAACAUUACCUAAGCUUGCAUUUCUUUGAGUAAUUCUACUGAGUAAUUAAACAGUCUAGGUUGAACUCCUGUGAGAAAACACAAAUUGAGGCCUUUGUGUGUCACUUUAUGCUGUCAUUCCGAAAACAUGUCUGAUUGUCACAACACUCAUCCAGGAAACCCCCUCCUGUCUUGUCCUGUUACAG